rnacentral:rRNA from 1 species
AACGAACGCUGGCGGCAGGCCUAACACAUGCAAGUCGAGCGCACCCUUCGUGCUGAGCGGCGGACGUGGGAGUAACGCGGGGGAACGUGCCCUUCUCUGCGGUAUAGCCUCCGGAAACUGAGCUUAAUACAGCAUACGCCCAUUGGGGGUAAGAGUUUUCGGUGAAGGGUCGGCGCGCGUUGGUUUCGGUGGUUGGUGGGGUACUAGCGCACCAAGCGCACGAUCCAUAGCUGGUUUGAGAGGAUGGUCAGCUAGACUGGGACUGAGACACGGACCAGACGCCUACGCGAGGGAGCAGUGGGGAAUCUUAGGCGCUGGGGGCUACCCUGAUCUCGCCACGUCGCGUGAGUGAUGAAUGCGUUAGUGUUGUAAAGCUGUUUCAGCUGGGAAGAUAAUGACGGUACCAGCAGAAGAAGCCCCGGCUAACUCCGUG